rnacentral:rRNA from 1 species
GAUGAACGCUAGCGAUAGGCCUAACACAUGCAAGUCGAGGGGCAUCACGGAGUAGCAAUACUUUGGUGGCGACCGGCGCACGGGUGAGUAACGCGUAUGCAAUCUACCUACAACAGGGGGAUAACCCGGAGAAAUCCGGACUAAUACCGCAUAACACAGGGGUCCCGCAUGGGAAUAUUUGUUAAAGAUUUAUCGGUUGUAGAUGAGCAUGCGUUCCAUUAGGUAGUUGGUGAGGUAACGGCCCACCAAGCCUGCGAUGGAUAGGGGAACUGAGAGGUUCGUCCCCCACACUGGAACUGAGACACGGACCAGACUCCUACGGGAGGCAGCAGUGAGGAAUAUUGGUCAAUGGGCGAGAGCCUGAACCAGCCAAAUCGCGUGAAGGAAGACUGCCUUAUGGGUUGUAAACUUCUUUUGUACAGGAAUAAAAAGAGGGACGUGUCCUUCAUUGCAUGUACUGUACGAAUAAGCAUCGGCUAACUCCGUGCCAGCCGCCGCGGUAA